rnacentral:rRNA from 1 species
AACGAAGCUUGACGGAUGAUUUCUUCGGAAUGAAACCUGAUAUGACUUAGUGGCGGACGGGUGAGUAACACGUGAGCAACCUGCCUUUCAGAGGGGGAUAACGGCUGGAAACGGUCGCUAAUACCGCAUGACGUGUUCGGAUGGCAUCAUCUGAACAUCAAAGAUUUAUCGCUGAAAGAUGGGCUCGCGUCUGAUUAGAUAGUUGGUGGGGUAACGGCCUACCAAGUCGACGAUCAGUAGCCGGACUGAGAGGUUGAACGGCCACAUUGGGACUGAGAUACGGCCCAGACUCCUACGGGAGGCAGCAGUGGGGAAUAUUGCACAAUGGGGGAAACCCUGAUGCAGCAACGCCGCGUGAAGGAUGACGGUUUUCGGAUUGUAAACUUCUUUUCUUAGUGACGAAGACAGUGACGGUAGCUAAGGAAUAAGCAUCGGCUAACUACGUGCCAGCAGCCGCGGUAAUACGUAGGAUGCAAGCGUUAUCCGGAUUUACUGGGUGUAAAGGGAGCGCAGGCGGGACUGCAAGUUGGAUGUGAAAUACCGUGGCUUAACCACGGAACUGCAUCCAAAACUGUAGUUCUUGAGUGAAGUAGAGGCAAGCGGAAUUCCGAGUGUAGCGGUGAAAUGCGUAGAUAUUCGGAGGAACACCAGUGGCGAAGGCGGCUUGCUGGGCUUUAACUGACGCUGAGGCUCGAAAGUGUGGGGAGCAAACAGGAUUAGAUACCCUGGUAGUCCACACUGUAAACGAUGAUAGCUAGGUGUGGGGGGUCUGACCCCUUCCGUGCCGGAGUUAACGCAAUAAGCUAUCCACCUGGGGAGUACGACC